rnacentral:tRNA from 1 species
GCAUUGGUGGUCCAGUGACAGGAUUCUCGCCUUCCAUGAAGGAGACCUGGGUUCAAUUUCCAGCCAGUGUA